UUAUCAUGUUGUUAACUAUCAGUGGAUAUUCAUUGACUGUUAUAAGCUUAUGCAAGGAGAAAUGUUUCUUGUUACUCAUACUAGUACUAUUGCUUCUAUUAUUAAAUAGAAUAGCCCAGUAGUACUUUAGGAGUUGUUUUGGCUUGUGGG